UACGGGGGGAGCAAGCGUUGUUCGGAUUUACUGGGCGUAAAGGGCGCGUAGGCGGUCAGCACAAGUCAGUUGUGAAAUCUCCGGGCUUAACUCGGAAAGGUCAACUGAUACUGUGCGACUAGAGUGCAGAAGGGGCAACUGGAAUUCUCGGUGUAGCGGUGAAAUGCGUAGAUAUCGAGAGGAACACCUGCGGCGAAGGCGGGUUGCUGGGCUGACACUGACGCUGAUGAGCGAAAGCGUGGGGAGCGAACAGG
rnacentral:rRNA from 1 species